rnacentral:rRNA from 1 species
AUUGAACGCUGGCGGCAGGCCUAACACAUGCAAGUCGAGCGGAUGAAGGGAGCUUGCUCCUGGAUUCAGCGGCGGACGGGUGAGUAAUGCCUAGGAAUCUGCCUGGUAGUGGGGGAUAACGUCCGGAAACGGGCGCUAAUACCGCAUACGUCCUGAGGGAGAAAGUGGGGGAUCUUCGGACCUCACGCUAUCAGAUGAGCCUAGGUCGGAUUAGCUAGUUGGUGGGGUAAAGGCCUACCAAGGCGACGAUCCGUAACUGGUCUGAGAGGAUGAUCAGUCACACUGGAACUGAGACACGGUCCAGACUCCUACGGGAGGCAGCAGUGGGGAAUAUUGGACAAUGGGCGAAAGCCUGAUCCAGCCAUGCCGCGUGUAUGAAGAAGGUCUUCGGAUUGUAAAGCACUUUAAGUUGGGAGGAAGGGCAGUAAGUUAAUACCUUGCUGUUUUGACGUUACCAACAGAAUAAGCACCGGCUAACUUCGU